GCUAAGCACUUACAACUGUUUGCAGAGGAAACUGAGACUUUAUAAUUAUGUCUCAGUCUCAUCUGCAAAGAAGUGAUUUUUC
rfam:Mesocricetus auratus contig188046, whole genome shotgun sequence.